UACGUAUGGGGCAAGCGUUAUCCGGAUUUACUGGGUGUAAAGGGAGCGUAGGCGGCGGGGCAAGCCUGAUGUGAAGGCCCGGGGCUCAACCCCGGGACUGCAUUGGGAACUGCCCUGCUGGAGUGCCGGAGGGGCAGGCGGAAUUCCUAGUGUAGCGGUGAAAUGCGUAGAUAUUAGGAGGAACACCAGUGGCGAAGGCGGCCUGCUGGACGGUGACUGACGCUGAGGCUCGAAAGCGUGGGGAGCAAACAGG
rnacentral:rRNA from 1 species